UACGAAGGGGGCGAGCGUUGUUCGGAAUUACUGGGCGUAAAGGGCGCGUAGGCGGCCCUCUUUGUCGCGUGUGAAAGCCCCGGGCUCAACCUGGGAACGGCGCGCGAAACGGGGGGGCUGGAGUUCGGGAGAGGAGCGUGGAAUUCCCAGUGUAGAGGUAAAAUUCGUAGAUAUUGGGAAGAACACCGAUGGCGAAGGCAGUUCUCUGGGACGGUACUGACGCUGAGACGCGAAAGCGUGGGGAGCGAACAGG
rnacentral:rRNA from 1 species